UUCGCGAGAAAAUACCCCAGCCCUGAAUCAAGCGACCGCGCCUCCCCGCCUCCUCCGCCGUGCCGUCCUCCCGGCACCGUGGCCUGCCCCCUCUCUGCCGCGCCCUCCUCCCCCGCACCGUCCAAGUCCUCCGUGCGCGGUUCGCCCACGCCGAGGCCCAGGCCGCCGCGCUCCGUGCCCGCGCCGGCCGGCCGGCUCGAGUGCACGCCGGAGGAGAGGAGGUCGGCUGGAGGGGAGAGACCAACGUCGUGGUGGUCUCACCGGCGAGCGACGGGAGGAGGGCGGAGAUGAUGCGUAGGAGGGCGAGGCGGCUGUGUGCAGGAGGCUUCCCGACGGAUAGGGGAGACGGCGCGAAGCAUCUUCGACGGCAUGGGCCGGGGCGCCGUGCUUCCUCAGAUUCGCGUUUUGAGUGUGUGUCCAGUUUGUCGCUUCCCUCGACGUCGACGGCUCCAUGAUCAGUCGUGUUCUCUUCCUACUAAGCCAUGAUGAGAUAUCACCGAGUUCGCCGGCGGAAGAAGAACAUCUCUCGAGCCGUCCAAUGUUUCCUGCGGCGGCUACACCAGAGACACAGUUCUUAUCAAGUGGGUCUGAAGGAGUUGGGCAGUGGGUGGUUCCCAUCACACUCUGCUGUUGUUCAUACUUGGUUCAGCGAAAGUUCUUUUUCCGUGGAAAACCGGAGGAUUUCAGUUUGUUAGUGCUCGUAGAAUGUCAAAAGAAAGAUGGCAUAAGGAGGUUUAACCAAGAUGUCCUUUUGUUGGUUUUCCUGUGUAAUUAGCACUUACAAAUAUGGAGUACAGGUAGGAGAAUGCUACGGUUCUGCCUGCAUCUGAUGGGUGACGUGGCUCAGCCCAGCGGCUCUACAGAACCAUCAGAUAACCUGGGACGAUGAUGCCUCUUUGCUAGAGAAGAUUGUAGCUUAUGAAGUUUGUGUCUGACUCGCCAUUAGAUCGUUCAAUAUGCUAUCUUGUGGUUUAAUUGAUGAUUCCUUCUUCUUAGUUUUCAGGCUGUGUUUACAAUCAGAAAUCUGAUAGACUGGAGAGAAGGCUAGGUGUUUGCCACAUUGUUUCGGCUACUUCCAUCUGGCGAUUCCAGAUUUAGGGGAUACAAUGUCGGAUUACAUUAUGUGGAUGUAUUGAAGGCAAAAAUUCUUGUGGUGGAGGUAUUACGUGCUACCACUUUAUCAGUACAUAACCAACUUCCAUUCUUUAUAAAUAGCAACAAGCAGUUUUCAUCUCCAAGCAUAUUCAAAAGCGAAAACAAUUCUUUGUAUUGUUUAUCAAAACUGUAUGAUGAGAUAGUUCAGAGUGUUGGGCUAAAAUUGGAGAACACAAGUUUAUCAGAAACAUUAAGAAUUUGU